CGGAGGGGCUAGCGUUGUUCGGAAUUACUGGGCGUAAAGCGCACGUAGGCGGCUUUGUAAGUCAGAGGUGAAAGCCUGGAGCUCAACUCCAGAACUGCCUUUGAGACUGCAUCGCUUGAAUCCAGGAGAGGUCAGUGGAAUUCCGAGUGUAGAGGUGAAAUUCGUAGAUAUUCGGAAGAACACCAGUGGCGAAGGCGGCUGACUGGACUGGUAUUGACGCUGAGGUGCGAAAGCGUGGGAGCAAACAGGAUU
rnacentral:rRNA from 1 species